UCUGAUUAGCUUGUUGGCGGGGUAACGGCCCACCAAGGCGACGAUCAGUAGGGGUUCUGAGAGGAAGGUCCCCCACAUUGGAACUGAGACACGGUCCAAACUCCUACGGGAGGCAGCAGUGAGGAAUAUUGGUCAAUGGGCGAGAGCCUGAACCAGCCAAGUAGCGUGCAGGAUGACGGCCCUAUGGGUUGUAAACUGCUUUUAUAAGGGAAUAAAGUGAGUCUCGUGAGACUUUUUGCAUGUACCUUAUGAAUAAGGACCGGCUAAUUCCGUGCCAGCAGCCGCGGUAAUACGGAAGGUCCGGGCGUUAUCCGGAUUUAUUGGGUUUAAAGGGAGCGUAGGCCGGAGAUUAAGCGUGUUGUGAAAUGUAGACGCUCAACGUCUGCACUGCAGCGCGAACUGGUUUCCUUGAGUACGCACAAAGUGGGCGGAAUUCGUGGUGUAGCGGUGAAAUGCUUAGAUAUCACGAAGAACUCCGAUUGCGAAGGCAGCUCACUGGAGCGCAACUGACGCUGAAGCUCGAAAGUGCGGGUAUCGAACAGGAUUAGAUACCCUGGUAGUCCGCACGGUAAACGAUGGAUGCCCGCUGUUGGUCUGAAUAGGUCAGCGGCCAAGCGAAAGCAUUAAGCAUCCCACCUGGGGAGUAC
rnacentral:rRNA from 1 species